CCGGCCCCGCCGCGGCCUGGCCCGCGCUGCCGCCGCCGCCGCCGCUGCCGCUGCCAAUUCAUCACCUGUCAGGGAUCACUCGAGGGGUCACGGGAGGAAUGGACACAGCUUUUAUCCAGCCUUACAAUCCCUGGCAAUGCUCUUUAAAUGGAUGUCAAACUGGAUAUCUUGCCAAUCCGGCUGACUUCUACACAAUGAGGCAGGCAGGCUGGACUCUUGACAUGGCAGCUAAAGAAAGAAACACCCGAAGAACUUUCACCAUAUUUAGCCAUUUUGACUACAUCAGGGGACAGACAUGAUCAUGGGAGGAGGCACCGUCUUAAUCAACUCCGCAAGUGUGCAAAGUGAUUCUGCACAACACUCGUGAUGAUCCAGUCCAGAGCCUGGCUGUGGGAUAAUGAGACUGGCGCG